rnacentral:tRNA from 2 species
GCUAUUUUGGCAGAUAAGUGCGUUGGAUUUAGAAUCUUUUAAUGUGAGUUUUGCUUGCAGGUAGUA